UACGUAGGGAGCAAGCGUUGUUCGGAUUUACUGGGCGUAAAGCGUGCGCAGGCGGUUUUGUAAGCCAGAUGUGAAAUCCCCGGGCUUAACCUGGGAAUGGCAUUUGGGACUGCAAGGCUGGAGUGUGGCAGAGGAGACUGGAAUUCCCGGUGUAGCAGUGAAACGCGUAGAUAUCGGGAGGAAUACCGAUGGCGAAGGCAGGUCUCUGGGCUGACACUGACGCUCAUGCACGAAAGCGUGGGGAGCAAACAGG
rnacentral:rRNA from 1 species